UUUUUUUUUNUUUUUUGUCUUCUUAGGGCCAAACCUGAGGCAUAUGGAGGUUCCCAGGCUAGGGGUCAAAUCAGGGCUACAGCUGCCAGUCUAUGCCACAGCCACAGCAAUGCAGGGUCUGAGCCAAGUCUGUGACCUACAUCACAGCUCAUGGCAAUGACAGAUCCUCAACCCACUGAGCAAGGGCAGGGAUCGAACCCGCAUCCUCAAGGAUUCUAGUUGGAUUCUGCUGAGCCACAAUGGGAACUCCGAGAUUCCUUCAAUUUUACAUACACUAGUGGGAGGGAAUGGCUUUGCUUAUGCUAUUCCUUUAGUCUGAAAUGUCUGCCUUCCACACGCACAACAGCACCUUAGAAGCCUGUAUUCUUUUAGGCACUGCCAGAUUUUCACCCUCGAUUCCCACCUUUCUCCUGAAGGGAAUCUUGAUCUGAUUCAGAUGUGCAGCCUUAUCCCACAGCACCCAUGAGCCUCAGGGAAAGCUGGCCCCACUGCUACCCCCAGAGAUGGGCAUGAAUGACUGAUGAUCAUGACUGGUUUAGAAGGCUUAGUGAAAGGUCUUGGGAAUAGGCAGGAUGGGCUAAGACAGUAGUUAGGAAGUUUGCUGGGAGGCUGCUAAGAAGGUAAUUUCUCAUUAGUAAAAGAUGGCAUCUGGACCAGACAGCCUCUGUCUUCCUCUGGAUAUUGUGGUAGUGAGGAGUUGCUAUGCCACUCUGCCUCCAAGGUAAUGAAAGGGAAUCACUGAGAACUAAAUCACUGGAUUCAGCUAUGCCUAAAGACUACCCUAGCUCUGAACCUCCAGUUAAAUGAGCUAAUGCCUCCCCUUAUUAUCUGAGCCAGAAUGAGUAUGGAUUUCUGUCAUGUGUGAAUAAAAGCUUCCUAACUGGUAGAAGAGAAUGGACAACUGCUGUUUCUACCAGGCAAGCAGCAUUUCUUAUUCUUCUAUAAAUUGAACCUUGGUUUUCCCUUUGGGAAUCAUGUCUUACCCAUUCUCAGUUCCUAUGGUCUAGGUGGGACUCACCUCUCCCCACUCUAAGGUCCAGAGUAGGCAAUGAAGCAAAUAGAACCUUCAGAACACUGGGUCUAAGUGGUUGGGAAGCUGUUACAAUAACCUACUGGGGCCAGUGAGGGAUCUAUGUAAGUCUCCUGCUAGAACUAUGGUAAAGAAAAAUUCCUGUUCCACUGAAGAUGCUUACAUGGUAGAAUAUAAACCUAGAUCUGCUGGUAGCCAUCUUUCCAAAAAAAGAAAUGAGAUGGCUAAGAAUGAAGGAGAUAAUGGUAGAGCAAGGUCAAGAGAAAGAAAGAGAUAAUUGUUUUAGCACCUGGAUCCAUCUGUACCUGAAGCUAAUCACCAUCAGAUUGUUAAAUUAUGUGAGCUACUAAAUAAUCUUCUUUUUCUUAAAGUUUGAGACAGGUUUCUGUUCCAAGUCCUGCCAUUAUAUCUUGUCACCAAAGAACCACCAUCACCUUACAAUGUGCGUACGAGUCUGAUGUCCCAGACACAGUGAGCCUCUGCAAUAAAGACCAUGAUUUUCACCCUUUUAUCUUCCAUACCUAGAGAAGAAUCUGGCUCAUACCACCAAGGCACAGUAUGGUACUUGAAGCAAGUCAUUAAAACUCACCCAGGCUCAGUUUCCUAAUCUCAAAAACAAGACAUUUAACAACAAAGAUGACAGAUAAUAACAAAAGCCAAACACAAAUGGCCAUACACAUACUGUAUGAAUUCAUCUAUAUGCAAAUGUCGGGAAGAGACAAACCUAUAGAUAAAAAAUACAGUAGUUGCCAAGUGCAGAGCGGAUUACAAGGAAAUGGGGGAAGGGGGUGUGAAUGUUAAAGGGUAUAGGAUUUCUUUUGUAGGAAGUGAAAAUGUUCUAAAAUGGGCUGUGGUAAUGGUUAUACAACUGUGUGACCGUGCUAAAAACCACAACUGUAAAUUAGUAUACACUGUAAACUGGCAAAUUUAUGAAUUAUAUCUCAAUAAACCUGUUACCCCAAAAAAAUCAGUCAACUGAACCAGAUGGUGGCCAAGGUCUCUUGCCACCAUGACCUGCAGAUUCUCUACAGCAUUUUAGGUGAAAUAGGAAAGAUCUAACUAUGUGACUCUCGGCAAGCUCUUAAUCUCUCUGCAACUCAAUGUUCUCAUUUAUGAAAUGGAGAUGAAAGGUUGUUGUGAGGAUAGAAAGAAUUACACAUAUGAAGCAUUACAAUAGUGCCUGCACACACUAAGCAUUUUGAGAGUUCUGGCUAUUGCUGAGCUCCCAUUUGCUGAUGAGGCUUUUGCAUGUGGCCUCAGAUACAUCAAGGGCAAGUCAAAUUCUAUUCUAUGAAAGUCAUCAUCAUCAAGUACCACUAUGUGGCUUGUGAAGUAUUUUCAUUCACUACCCUGCUAACUCAAGAAAUUGCCAAAAUAUAUUCUCAUAUCAGUUUUGCUUUUUCUUUCUCCUAGAGAGUGGAGAAAAAAAAAAGAAGGAAAAUGCAAAUAAGUUACGGCAAGUAGCAAGUAAACAUUUUUCAUCCUCCACUUGCCAAACCAAGGCCUGAUGCCCCACCGCUACAAACUAUUUCCAUGUGUCUCCAUCCCAGGCGAAAAGGAUAAGGGGCCAAAUGUUUAGGCCUGAUGAUAGGAGUUUGGGUUUAAAACCAAGACUCUCCAACCAAGGCUCAGUUUUGGGUGUCUGCCCCCUGGCCGUCAAGAAAUGGGAGGAUUUGAAAGAGUUCUACAUGCAUCCUCUCAAUGCUUGUUUUUGCCUGGAUAGGAAAGGGGUAAUAAAAGUCACCAUGGGCACGAUCAAGAGAACCACAGUAGCUCCUAUGAUUUACUGGGAACGCCACGUCUUCUAGACUCUGCCCUAUUCCCAGUGAAUUACAUGUAUUAACCUAUCUAAUUCUCUCCACCAGCCUUACUGGGUAGGUACUAUCACACUAUUUUGUGGGUAAGAAAACUGAACCACAGAAAUGUUUAAUAACUUGUCCAAGGUCACAGCUCUUAAGUACCAAGGCUGGGGGGUUGAAGCAGACUGCCUAACUCAGUAUUCACUGCACUAAGCACUGGCUUGGAUUCUCAACCACACACAAUGGAACUGCUGCCUCCAGGCAUUUGAAUAAUAGAGGGGCCAAUAUUAGCCAACUCUCUCUGAAGGUUUAGCAGAAGCCAGAUAUUGGGCGUUAUGAGAAUCAUCAUCACAACAUCUCUAGUAUUAUCAUCACCAGACCAUUUUACAGAAGUGCAAACUGAGAGUAAGAAACCUACCCAAGAUCACUAAACACUAAGAAACCACACUGAGACUCGAGCUUGUUCGGUCUGGUUCAGAGACCAUGCAUGUCAGUAAUGGAAUGAUUUGGUUUUUCUAUUGGCAGAGCAGUCUUCCUCAAAUAGAAACCUGAACAAUGACUCGGGUUCCCACAGAUAUGUGAUCUAGCCACAUUCCUUCAUCUCUGUUUCUCCUUUUAUUUGGUAUUCCCUCCCAACCAAGAAGUCCCUCUGCCCCAGCCCUAAUCCCAUCCCUUCCUUUAGGAACAAAAGGAAGAGAGGAAUGAUGCCUCUGGCAGAUGCCUUUUCUAGAAAAUACGGGACGUGAGCAGAGUAAGGUUGGGGAAACGAAGGAAGCAGAAGGGAUGGCUGUGCAAAAUGAGGCAGUAACAGACUCAUGAGGGUGUGUGUGUAUGUUAAGGAGAGAAAGAGAGAGAGAUUGAGAUUGUGGCCACAGAGCAAAGAAUCAAGCUCAAGAAGAAGAAACAAAAUUCCAGCCAAGCAGAAGACUCGGGAACAGCUCUGAAGGCUCUGGCUGUGUCUGUCACAGGAUUAGUGAAAUUAUUUAAGAUAUCCUUGUACCAAAAGCAGGAACUGGAUGGGCACCUUCCACUUCUGAGUUCAACAAAGAAGUACAUAUGGAGCGGCUCCUCCAGGCCAAGCUGGGCAAACUUUAUCCAACUUGAUGCAAGUUGAAGGGCUCACAACAGGCCAAGAUGAGCAUCUGGCCAAAGAGAAAGAGAGAGACCUUCCCUACCAUGCAGGCAAGGCAGCCACAGUCUCUCCCUAAACCCUCCAGGAAAAAGCAGCAAAUUAAGCCGCAAGAAACAACACUCUCUCUAGAUACUACCAUGGGGCUAUCCAAAAACACUUGGAAAGCUUGGUAUUCUAGCCAUUCAAAUUUUUCUAUGUGUCAGAAUAUGGGGCAAUAAUGUAACGACCUCUCACAUCCAGCGUAAACUUUUAAACGCCAGAGACAUGGUGCCAGUCCACUUAGGAAAGGUACCUUGCCUGUUCCCAAGAGGAGGAGCCUCAAAGAUAACAUGAAGUGCUAAUGAACAACACGGCACCUGCAAUCCUGGGCCUCUGAAGGCCUAUCACUGUGCUCAACGCAGUCUCUGAGCAUAAGAAUGAAGGCUUUCCUCCCUCUACUAAGGAGCCAGGCAACUUGGUGCCAAACUGCAGUAUGACUUCACUCUCUGUAAUCCGCAUGGCACGUGGAAUACUCACAGCGUGCCAGAUUAUCAGUAAGGUGAUAACAUUUGUGUAUUAUACCUGCCUGGCACAAUUUGAAUGAGGCUCCCUCAGGCCGCCUAAGGUUUCGCUUCCUGUUUUCUGCACCUGCACCAAUUUCAGAAACAAAUAAAAACACCACACACAACCCUAUUUUGGGAGCUUAUUCAAAAGCGAAGUGGCCAAACCAACACAAUCAACAUAAACCCCAAAACACAACAAGGUAAUUAACCUGAGGUUCAGACUCACUCCAUGUCGGGGAAGUACGCCUCCUUCCACUUUUUAGCGAUCUCCGCAAAUUUCCACAUCUUGAAUCAUCUUACUUAUUUAAUGUGACUUUUAGCCAAUAGAGAGAACAGUCAUUAUCAUGAGGACCUACAUGCAUAAAGCUCCUUUCUAUACUUGCUAGGCACCAUGCAUCACAUUCUACCUGAAUUUCCUCAUUAAUCCAGAGAACAAAUGAAGUGAUUUCUAUUAUUACGUCCUCUUACAUACAGACAGACACACACCCAUUUAUGACAGAUGAAGGUAAAUUAGAAAGGUUAAUGGGCUUGAAGUCACCCAAUAAGUAUGAAAAGCCUCUGUAUACCCAAAUCUGUCAAACUCCAGACUCCUUGUCCUUAACCGCCAAGUCACAGUGUGACCAAAAACCAGAUGGCACUGAUCAUGAUCUGGGUACACCCAUAACCUUCGCCACCUACCUGGACAGUGUCCUUAGCAUUACUGAAACUCCUUAUCACUACAGUGAAACGGCUUUUGCAGAAUCUUUUUUAAAAAAAAAUGUGUAGAUAGAGAUUUAUAUUUCAGUGAACAGAGCAACAGUCCUUUCAGGAAGUUAGUUCUAUACCAACUGGGGAGGGUGAACAUUGAGAAAUGGAAAGGGAAGAAAUCAAAUCAUCCACCAAGGGAUUCAGUACUGUGGUCAACAAUGCCUCUGCCACUCUGUCCCUGGUGGAGCAUGAGGGGUGAAAACAGGGUAAGAAAGCUUCCUGGACUUUGGCCUGCCAUUCAGCAUCACCCAAGGACAGCAAUCCCUGGAGAUGCCAGGACUAGAGCAGACAUGAAAGCAAUUCCCUAGCAGUAUCUCUGUAACAUAAAUUUACUAUUAAGAUACGUUAUUUUGCUUUUUACCAAUUCAUUAUAUAAAAUCUACAGUGUGAAAGAGUCUCCACCAAAUACACGAAUUUGGGGCAGGGGGUGGAGGGGUGACCAAGAGAAGCCAAAGAGACUCAAUGGGAAAUUCAAAUCAAGAAUUGUGCAAGACGACACCUGCCUUCUGGCCUAAUAGAAAAAUCAAUCUGUCAGGUUUUAAUUAAGUGCUCAGGCUAGAAAUAAAAGGCGGCAGCUUCUACUUGGUCUCCUACCUAGUAGAGUCUUGAUAAUCAAAAGGCAGCUGGAAGUCGUAUUUGUUACAGAAAUGGUAAAUAUGUGCAGAGAUGACUCACUGGCUUCAGGGCGGCAGUGUAUUUCGUAAAUAAAAGGUGGAACAAGAUGAAUCUCAUAAGCUUGUUGACAACGAUCUCUGUGAAUAAUGACAUUUGGAAGUCUAAAUGAUGUUGUAUUAGAACAUCUUACUGAAAAUGUG
rnacentral:lncRNA from 1 species